rnacentral:rRNA from 1 species
CGCCCAUAUCGGAUGAUCUACGCCAUGCGAGUCAUUGUAGCAUACAAGGCAGACGGCUCAGUAACGCGUAGUCAACCUAACCUAUGGACGGGAAUAACCUCGGGAAACUGAGAAUAAUGCCCGAUAGAACACUAUGCCUGGAAUGGUUUGUGUUCCAAAUGAUUUAUCGCCGUAGGAUGGGACUGCGGCCUAUCAGUUUGUUGGUGAGGUAAUGGCCCACCAAGACUAUUACAGGUACGGGCUCUGAGAGGAGUAGCCCGGAGAUGGGUACUGAGACACGGACCCAGGCCCUAUGGGGCGCAGCAGGCGAGAAAACUUUGCAAUGUGCGAAAGCACGACAAGGUUAAUCCGAGUGGUUUCUGCUAAAGGAACCUUUUGUCGGUCCUAGAAACACCGAUGAAUAAGGGGUGGGCAAGUUCUGGUGUCAGCCGCCGCGGUAAAACCAGCACCUCAAGUGGUCAGGAUGAUUAUUGGGCCUAAAGCAUCCGUAGCCGGCUCUAUAAGUUUUCGGUUAAAUCUGUACGCUCAACGUACAGGCUGCCGGGAAUACUGUAGAGCUAGGGAGUGGGAGAGGUAGACGGUACUCGGUAGGAAGGGGUAAAAUCCUUUGAUCUAUUGAUGACCACCUGUGGCGAAGGCGGUCUACCAGAACACGUCCGACGGUGAGGGAUGAAAGCUGGGGGAGCAAACCGGAUUAGAUACCCGGGUAGUCCCAGCUGUAAACUAUGCAAACUCAGUGAUGCAUUGGCUUGUGGCCAAUGCAGUGCUGCAGGGAAGCCGUUAAGUUUGCCGUCUGGGAAGUACGUACGCCAGUAUGAAACUCAAAUGAAUUGAC